AGUUUUCGAGCUCCGGCUCGACUCUCCCACCCUUUGUGAACGUACCUCUGUUGCUUUGGCGGCUCCGGCCGCCAAAGGACCUUCAAACUCCAGUCAGUAAACGCAGACGUCUGAUAAACAAGUUAAUAAACUAAAACUUUCAACAACGGAUCUCUUGGUUCUGGCAUCGAUGAAGAACGCAGCGAAAUGCGAUAAGUAAUGUGAAUUGCAGAAUUCAGUGAAUCAUCGAAUCUUUGAACGCACAUUGCGCCCCUUGGUAUUCCGGGGGGCAUGCCUGUUCGAGCGUCAUUACAACCCUCAAGCUCUGCUUGGAAUUGGGCACCGUCCUCACUGCGGACGCGCCUCAAAGACCUCGGCGGUGGCUGUUCAGCCCUCAAGCGUAGUAGAAUACACCUCGCUUUGGAGCGGUUGGCGUCGCCCGCCGGACGAACCUUCUGAACUUUUCUCAAGGUUGACCUCGGAUCAGGUAGGGAUACCCGCUGAACUUAAGCAU
rnacentral:rRNA from 1 species